AGUGAACGCUGGCGGUAGGCCUAACACAUGCAAGUCGAACGGCAGCACAGUAAGAGCUUGCUCUUACGGGUGGCGAGUGGCGGACGGGUGAGGAAUACAUCGGAAUCUACUUUUUCGUGGGGGAUAACGUAGGGAAACUUACUCUAAUACCGCAUACGACCUACGGGUGAAAGCAGGGGAUCUUCGGACCUUGCGCGAUUGAAUGAGCCGAUGUCGGAUUAGCUAGUUGGCGGGGUAAAGGCCCACCAAGGCGGCGAUCCGUAGCUGGUCUGAGAGGAUGAUCAGCCACACUGGAACUGAGACACGGACCAGACUCCUACGGGAGGCAGCAGUGGGGAAUAUUGGACAAUGGGCGCAAGCCUGAUCCAGCGAUACCGCGUGGGUGAAGAAGGCCUUCGGGUUGUAAAGCCCUUUUGUUGGGAAAGAAAAGCAGCAGGUUAAUACCCCGCUGUUCUGACGGUACCCAAAGAAUAAGCACCGGCUAACUUCGUG
rnacentral:rRNA from 1 species